AGUGAACGCUGGCGGCAGGCCUAACACAUGCAAGUCGAGCGGCAGCGCGGGGGCAACCCUGGCGGCGAGCGGCGGACGGGUGAGGAAUACAUCGGAAUCUGCCUUGUUGUGGGGGAUAACGUAGGGAAACUUACGCUAAUACCGCAUGAGACCGUAAGGUGAAAGUGGGGAUCGCAAGACCUCACGCGACAAGAUGAGCCGACGUCGGAUUAGCUAGUUGGUGAGGUAAAGGCUCACCAAGGCAACGAUCCGUAGCUGGUCUGAGAGGAUGAUCAGCCACACUGGGACUGAGACACGGCCCAGACUCCUACGGGAGGCAGCAGUGGGGAAUAUUGGACAAUGGGCGCAAGCCUGAUCCAGCCAUGCCGCGUGUGUGAAGAAGGCCUUCGGGUGUUAAGG
rnacentral:rRNA from 1 species